GAGUGAGGGAGGGGUGACUAGUGACAGAGGGGGUGACUAGUGACAGAAUGAGGGAGGGGGUGACUAGUGACAGAGUGAGGGAGAUGGUGACUAGUGACAGAGUGAGGGAGGUGGUGACUGUCACUAGUCACACCCUCCCUAACUCUGUCACUAGUCAUCCCCUCACUCUGUCACUAGUCACCCCCUCCCUCUGUCACUAGUCACUCCCUCCCUAACUCUGUCACUAGUCAUCCCCUCACUCUGUCACUAGUCACCCCCUCCCUCUGUCACUAGUCACUCCCUCCUUAACUC